rnacentral:piRNA from 1 species
UGUUGACAGUAUUGGUCAAUAUGAACCAAAGC